rnacentral:rRNA from 1 species
UACGUAGGGGGCGAGCGUUGUCCGGAUUCAUUGGGCGUAAAGCGCGGGCAGGCGGCCCGCUCAGUCGGCCGUGAAAGCGCCGGGCUCAACUCGGCGAGGUCGGGCGAUACUGGCGGGCUCGAGGCUGGUAGAGGGCGGUGGAAUUCCGGGUGUAGUGGUGGAAUGCGUAGAGCUCCGGAGGAACACCCGUGGCGAAGGCGGCCCCCUGGGCCGUACCUGACGCUGAGGCGCGAAAGCUAGGGGAGCAAACAGG